GUUCCUCCUACCUAAUGACUGUGCAUGGCGGGGGUACUCCAGGCAUUCCACUGUUGCCUCCUGUGUCACUCAUCUAAAAGGUACCUUAGUUGGUUUUGAACUGCUAUAACAGAAUACCACAGACUGGAUUAUUACAGACAACAGAUGUUUCCUUGGCUCAUGGUUCUGCAGGCUGCAAAGUUCAAAACUGAGGAAGCACAUCAGGAAUAUUGUGUGGAGUACCAUUUUAAUAGAUCAGCUAUGAUGUACACCCAUGAUUAUUCAAACUGUUAGUAAUGCUGUCAGUUGCAUUGUGGAUGGGAAACGGAAGCCCAUAUCCAUGGAAACCUAUCAUCACGAGGACCACCCUGCACUUGUGUAUUCAAAGGUGCUUGUUUCACCUUUGCCCUUGCAACAUGACUGUAAUUUUCCUGAGGCCUCUCCAGCCAUGCUUCCUGUACAUUCUGCAGAACUCAUGAAAUUCAGCCUCCCAACCUGAUUGUUUUUACUGUGUUUGGUCAGCGUGGAAAGCUUCCAGACAAGAUGUUUGUUCACCUUGGAACUUCCAUUUACAAACCAUGCAGCUCAUUGUUGGUCAAUCUAGUGCUAUUUAUAAGGUACUGUCUAAGUGAUGGAAAAGUUUGGCAGCUCCUCCUGUAGUUCCGAAGUCCAUCCUAGAGGAAAAGAGGUGAGUAUUUGUUUGUGUGUUCUCCUGCUAACAUGAUUUGGUAUGACCUAUUUCCAUGUUAUUAUAGAAAUUUCUCCAACAUUAUCAAAAAAUCAUGUUCAGAUUUCAAGAUCAUUUUAUGUCCUCCAGUCUUAGAGGUAGAUUCAGUUAAUGUCCAAUAAUGCACUGGUAAAUGGCAUUCAAAGGGAAGUUUUUUAGUCCAAAGUAGCAGUAGUUUGUGAUGGAAAAAAGCUCACAGGUUUUCACCGCAAGCUCCAGUCUCCACAUAGGGCUAUAGCACAGAAAAAACAAAACUGUCUCUCCUAGCACUCCAGUUUCUGUUCUACAUUGUGUGGGCUCAGGAAAAGCUACUGGUUUCCAUUUGUUAGUAGCAUGGUUAAUUAAUAUU
rnacentral:lncRNA from 1 species